AGUGAACGCUGGCGGUAGGCCUAACACAUGCGAGUCGAACGGCAGCACAGUAAGAGCUUGCUCUUACGGGUGGCGAGUGGCGGACGGGUGAGGAAUACAUCGGAAUCUACUUUUUCGUGGGGGAUAACGUAGGGAAACUUACGCUAAUACCGCAUACGACCUACGGGUGAAAGCAGGGGAUCUUCGGACCUUGCGCGAUUGAAUGAGCCGAUGUCGGAUUAGCUAGUUGGCGGGGUAAAGGCCCACCAAGGCGACGAUCCGUAGCUGGUCUGAGAGGAUGAUCAGCCACACUGGAACCGAGACACGGUCCAGACUCCUACGGGAGGCAGCAGUGGGGAAUAUUGGACAAUGGGCGCAAGCCUGAUCCAGCCAUACCGCGUGGGUGAAGAAGGCCUUCGGGUUGUAAAGCCCUUUUGUUGGGAAAGAAAAGCAGCAGGUUAAUACCCCGCUGUUCUGACGGUACCCAAAGAAUAAGCACCGGCUAACUUCGUG
rnacentral:rRNA from 1 species